UGCUUUUUGAAAAUAUAAAAAGUAUUACCUGCCCAAUGAUAUUUAAAUGGCCGCAGUAUUUUGACUGUGCAAAGGUAGCAUAAUCAUUUGCUUUAUAAAUUAAAGCUUGUAUGAAUGGUAAAAUGUAAAUAAAGCUGUCUUUAUAUAUAAAUAAAAUUUAUUUUUUCAGUGAAGAAACUGAAUCUUUUUAGAAAGACGAGAAGACCCUAAUGAGUUUUAUAUAUAAAAUUUAUGUGAAUAUUUAUAUAUUUUAUUGGGGCGAUUAAAGAAUAUAUCUUCUUUUUAAAGAAAAUAAUAAUUAUUAAUGAUUCAUCCUUGAUGAAAAAAGUUCAAAUUACCAUAGGGAUAACAGCAUAAUCUUUUUUAAGAGUACAUAUCGACAAAAAGGAUUGUGACCUCGAUGUUGGAUUAAGAGAACUAUAUAAGGUAGCAUUUAUAUAAAUAAGUCUGUUCGACUUUUAAAUUCUUACA
rnacentral:rRNA from 1 species